AGAGUUUGAUCAUGGCUCAGGAUGAACGCUGGCGGCGUGCCUAACACAUGCAAGUCGAGCGAUUCUCUUCGGAGAAGAGCGGCGGACGGGUGAGUAACGCGUGGGUAACCUGCCCUGUACACACGGAUAGCAUAUCGAAAGGUAUGCUAAUACGAGAUAAUAUACUUUUAUCGCAUGGUAGAAGUAUCAAAGCUCUGGCGGUACAGGAUGGACCCGCGUCUGAUUAGCUAGUUGGUAAGGUAACGGCUUACCAAGGCGACGAUCAGUAGCCGACCUGAGAGGGUGAUCGGCCACAUUGGAACUGAGACACGGUCCAAACUCCUACGGGAGGCAGCAGUGGGGAAUAUUGCACAAUGGGCGAAAGCCUGAUGCAGCAACGCCGCGUGAGCGAUGAAGGCCUUCGGGUCGUAAAGCUCUGUCCUCAAGGAAGAUAAUGACGGUACUUGAGGAGGAAGCCCCGGCUAACUACGUGCCAGCAGCCGCGGUAAUACGUAGGGGGCUAGCGUUAUCCGGAAUUACUGGGCGUAAAGGGUGCGUAGGUGGUUUCUUAAGUCAGAGGUGAAAGGCUACGGCUCAACCGUAGUAAGCCUUUGAAACUGGGAAACUUGAGUGCAGGAGAGGAGAGUGGAAUUCCUAGUGUAGCGGUGAAAUGCGUAGAUAUUAGGAGGAACACCAGUUGCGAAGGCGGCUCUCUGGACUGUAACUGACACUGAGGCACGAAAGCGUGGGGAGCAAAC
rnacentral:rRNA from 1 species